UCUCCGUUGGUGAACCAGCGGAGGGACCAUUACCGAGUUUACAACUCCCAAACCCCUGUGAACAUACCUUUUGUUGCCUCGGCGGUGCCUGCUUCGGCAGCCCGCCAGAGGACCCAAACCCUUGAUUUUAUAUAGUAUCUUCUGAGUAAAUGAUUAAAUAAAUCAAAACUUUCAACAACGGAUCUCUUGGUUCUG
rnacentral:misc_RNA from 1 species